GAUAUGGUCAGAAUUAUGCCGCUUUUCCUGAUUCGUCUCAUCUCGUCAUAGAGUAUGUGUGGUGGCAACGUCCCACCACACAUACUCUUCCCACUGGAAACCACUAAAAACAUAAACAAAUCCAGAUGAUAUUUGCAGCUUUUUGCAAAAAAUUUAAAAUUCCCACCGAAACUUGCGAACUUUUUACCCCACCGAGUUCAUCAGUUUCGCCACUAUGUGAUUUAUGAGGAUUGGUUUAACAUAAAAUAUAGUUAACUCUUAAUGAUGUCGCACAACUUAACGAGUAAUUACGCCUUAUCCGUGAAAUAGGACCCAUUUUUUAGCAAAUGGAAAUAUGUGCUUAUCUAAAAUUUUGUUCAUGAAGGCUUAUUACAUUUCAUUAAAGUCGUCGUAAUCAAAUUUAUGCUUUGCAUCUCUGUCCGAAAUCUUUUGCCCAGCCCAGUCCUAGAAAAGACGAGGAGUGGAAAACUAGUUAUAAAAAAAUGUGUAAGCCUGAAGAACAAAAUGUGCAAGAAAUGGCGGAGGUCGAAGAAGUUCCUGCAGACCUGGCCGAGUUAGAAUUUUUGAUGGAUUACAUCGCUACGAAUUGGUCAGUGGAAAGGGGCCGUCACUUGGACCAAGAGGAAAAUAUCGUCAUUUCAGGCUCAACCGAUUCUGGAAUGGAAGUAGAUAUUUCCGAGGAAGAAAACAUUUCCUAGGAGAAUGAGAAUGAUGCUGCAUCGGACGAUUACGCCGCCGCUGGGAAUGUUCCUGGGAAUCAAACCGAAACCGGAAAUGUUCCGGAAUAGAAGGAAUUAAUCCGAUUUGGUCACAUAUUUACCGGGAUUAUUGAAUAAACAUAAUGUUGCAUAUUUUUAUGUGUGUAACUUCAUACAUAUGUGGCUUUUAUCAGUUUGAGAAUGUGACUUUAAAAUAAAUACUGGAUCGUCAUUUAGGAACAUAAA